rnacentral:rRNA from 1 species
ACGAAGACUGCGCGGCGGAACUCUCCGGACGUAAGAUGCGCAGGACUGAGUGGCGGACGGGUUGAGUAACGCGUGGGUAACCUGCCCUGUACAGGGGGACAACAGCUGGAAACGGCUGCUAAUACCGCAUAAGCCUACAGUGCCGCAUGGUACAGCAGGAAAAACUCCGGUGGUACAGGAUGGGCCCGCGUCUGAUUAGUUAGUUGGCAGGGUAACGGCCUACCAAGACAACGAUCAGUAGCCGGCUUGAGAGAGUGGACGGCCACAUUGGGACUGAGACACGGCCCAAACUCCUACGGGAGGCAGCAGUGGGGAAUAUUGCACAAUGGGGGGAACCCUGAUGCAGCAACGCCGCGUGAGCGAAGAAGUAUUUCGGUAUGUAAAGCUCUAUCAGCAGGGAAGAAAAUGACGGUACCUGACUAAGAAGCUCCGGCUAAAUACGUGCCAGCAGCCGCGGUAAUACGUAUGGAGCAAGCGUUAUCCGGAUUUACUGGGUGUAAGGGGAGCGCAGGCGGUACGGCAAGUCCGAUGUGAAAGCCCGGGGCUCAACCCCGGGACUGCAUUGGAAACUGCCGCACUAGAGUGCCGGAGAGGUAAGUGGAAUUCCUAGUGUAGCGGUGAAAUGCGUAGAUAUUAGGAGGAACACCAGUGGCGAAGGCGGCUUACUGGACGGUAACUGACGCUGAGGCUCGAAAGCGUGGGGACCCUUCAAGGGUUACAUACCCUNNUAUUCCACACCAUAAACGACCCUGGUAGAGUGUCGGGGCACAACAUGCUUCGGUGCCGCAGCAAACGCAUUAAGUAUUCCACCUGGGGAGAACGUUCGCAAGAAUGAAACUCAAAGGAAUUGACGGGGACCCGCACAAGCGGUGGAGCAGGUGGUGUAAUAAGAAGCAACGAGAAGAACCUUACCAGACCUUGACAUCCUGCUGACAGCCC